UACGUAGGUGGCAAGCGUUAUCCGGAAUUAUUGGGCGUAAAGCGCGCGCAGGUGGUUUCUUAAGUCUGAUGUGACAGCCCACGGCUCAACCGUGGAGGGUCAUUGGAAACUGGGAGACUUGAGUGCAGAAGAGGAAAGUGGAAUUCCAUGUGUAGCGGUGAAAUGCGUAGAGAUAUGGAGGAACACCAGUGGCGAAGGCGACUUUCUGGUCUGUAACUGACACUGAGGCGCGAAAGCGUGGGGAGCAAACAGG
rnacentral:rRNA from 1 species